UGAGGAAUAUUGGUCAAUGGUCGGCAGACUGAACCAGCCAAGUCGCGUGAGGGAAGACGGCCCUACGGGUUGUAAACCUCUUUUGUCGGAGAGUAAAGUACGCUACGUGUAGCGUAUUGCAAGUAUCCGAAGAAAAAGCAUCGGCUAACUCCGUGCCAGCAGCCGCGGUAAUACGGAGGAUGCGGGCGUUAUCCGGAUUUAUUGGGUUUAAAGGGUGCGUAGGCGGCACGCCAAGUCAGCGGUGAAAUUUCCGGGCUCAACCCG
rnacentral:rRNA from 1 species